rnacentral:rRNA from 1 species
AACCCAAAAGAUCGAAUGGGGAGAUUCAUCGUCAGCGUUGCUGGUACGUGUGCGGCUCGCGAUGACGGAGACCUCGGUCUCUCGUUACGCGUCCGCAUGUUUUUAUUGCCUAGCUUCGUCGGCGUGCACUUCUCCUCUGGUAGGACGUCGCGACCCGUUGGGUGUCGGUUUACGGUCCGGGUGUACGCCUGUCUCGUGUGGCRCCUCGCGGCGCCACYGYGGGACAGACUCCCGGUCGCCCGACCGACUGCCCGGCGGUACUCGUAUGGUAUCUGGCCGAAGACAUUCGAACUGCGUCCGGCCCGUCGCAAGCGAGGCGAGUGUUUCCCGAAUGUACGGAUCUGACGCCGUCGUUGGGCCUUGCCAGCUGUUGGCUGACGGAGUCCUAGGACUGGCUGUAGCUAAUUAURAUACCGRUCGGCGACGCUACUGCUUUGGGUACUUUCAGGACCCGUCUUGAAACACGGACCAAGGAGUCUAACAUGUGCGCGAGUCAUUGGGAUCUGUAAAGCCUAAAGGCGUAAUGAAAGUGAAGGUCGGCCUCACGCCGACC